AUUGAACGCUGGCGGCAUGCUUUACACAUGCAAGUCGAACGGUAACAGGCCUUCGGGUGCUGACGAGUGGCGAACGGGUGAGUAAUGCAUCGGAACGUGCCCAAUCGUGGGGGAUAACGUAGCGAAAGUUACGCUAAUACCGCAUAAGCCCUGAGGGUGAAAGGGGGGGAUCGCAAGACCUUGCGCGAAUGGAGCGGCCGAUGUCAGAUUAGCUAGUUGGUGGGGUAAAGGCCUACCAAGGCGACGAUCUGUAGCGGGUCUGAGAGGAUGAUCCGCCACACUGGGACUGAGACACGGCCCAGACUCCUACGGGAGGCAGCAGUGGGGAAUUUUGGACAAUGGGCGCAAGCCUGAUCCAGCCAUGCCGCGUGCGGGACGAAGGCC
rnacentral:rRNA from 1 species